GAUGAACGCUAGCGGCAGGCUUAAUACAUGCAAGUCGAGGGGCAGCGGGGUGUAGCAAUACACUGCCGGCGACCGGCAAACGGGUGCGGAACACGUACACAACCUUCCUUAAAGUGGGGGAUAGCCCAGAGAAAUUUGGAUUAAUACCCCGUAACAUUAUGAGAUGGCAUCAUUUUAUAAUUAAAGCUCCGGCGCUUAAAGAUGGGUGUGCGGCUGAUUAGGUAGUUGGUAGCGGUAACGGCCUACCAAGGCGACGAUAGGUAGCUGGUGUGAGAGCACGACCAGCCACACGGGCACUGAGACACGGGCCCGACUCCUACGGGAGGCAGCAGUGAGGAAUAUUGGUCAAUGGACGAGAGUCUGAACCAGCCAUGCCGCGUGAAGGAUGAAGGCGUUCUGCGUCGUAAAC
rnacentral:rRNA from 1 species